GGGCCCGCACAAGCAGUGGAGUAUGUGGUUUAAUUCGAAGCAACGCGAAGAACCUUACCAGGGCUUGACAUCUGAAGAAUCCCUAAGAGAUUAGGGAGUGCCUUCGGGAACUUCAAGACAGGUGGUGCAUGGUUGUCGUCAGCUCGUGUCGUGAGAUGUUGGGUUAAGUCCCGCAACGAGCGCAACCCUUACUGUUAGUUGCUAACAUUCAGUUGAGCACUCUAGCAGGACUGCCGGUGACAAAUCGGAGGAAGGUGGGGACGACGUCAAAUCAUCAUGCCCCUUAUGUCCUGGGCUACACACGUACUACAAUGGUGAGAACAAAGGGAAGCAAAGCAGCAAUGCGGAGCAAAUCGCAAAAUCUCAUCUCAGUUCGGAUUGCAGGCUGCAACUCGCCUGCAUGAAGUCGGAAUUGCUAGUAAUCGCGGAUCAGCAUGCCGCGGUGAAUACGUUCCCGGGCCUU
rnacentral:rRNA from 1 species